rnacentral:rRNA from 1 species
UACGGAGGGGGUUAGCGUUGUUCGGAAUUGCUGGGCGUAAAGCGCGCGUAGGCGGACAUUUAAGUCAGGGGUGAAAUCCCGGGGCUCAACCCCGGAACUGCCUUUGAUACUGGGUGUCUUGAGGUCGAGAGAGGUGAGUGGAAUUCCGAGUGUAGAGGUGAAAUUCGUAGAUAUUCGGAGGAACACCAGUGGCGAAGGCGGCUCACUGGCUCGAUACUGACGCUGAGGUGCGAAAGCGUGGGGAGCAAACAGG